UUUAAAUAUAUGAAUUAAUAAAUAAAACAUUUUGUCAUUAUCUGCGGUAAAGAGGUAAUAAGAGUUAAAGACGGAAGAGCGUGACUCUAAAUAUAACGAAAUUAACUAAUAAAUAAUAUAAUUGUAUAAUAUAUACAAACACAGGGAGAGAGAUUCGCAGAAGGAAAGAAAGGAAAACCUGAUUGGACAUAAUCGAUCGCAGACCCGGCCAGUCCCGACCAAGCAGAUCGUCAUUAUAUGGAUAAGAUAGUACCUGGCAAGGAGGUUUCUGAGGAAGUGACUCGGGAAUCGCUUAUUUCCAUUUCUUACUCUCUACCAGAGAAGGUUCUUACUUCAAAACGCUCUGUUGACAAGGUGAACGGUGAGAAUCUAGUAGAACGAAUAGAUUCUGAUGGAGAAGAUAAGUUUAGGUCUGAGUUGAUUUCAAUUUCUUACACGCAGUCACCUGAUGUUGGAAGCUUACCUGUUGUCCCGGACGGAAAACUCAAGGAUUAGCCUGGUAGCAGUAGUAGAAGGUCCUCACACUUUUAUGUCUUCUGUCUAAUUCUGUGGUGUAUAACUGAAGUGGGUGUGAUAGUCUUUAUUUUAUGGUAUUUACAUUGUAAAUUGACCUUGCAAGUGCUUCCCACUGUUAUGAGUGAAAAACCUCUGUUAAGAGAAAGACUUGUGUUAUGAAAAUGUGUUCAUAUGCUAUUCUUUCUUUCCCAUCUUUCCCUUGUCUUUGACAGAAGGCUAUAAUGACUGGCUUUUUCAGACCUUUGAAUCUCAUUCAUGAAGUAGGUUUUUCCUUAACUGGAAGAUUAGAUUCAUUCCAGCCAUGCUCUGCUUAUAAAUUUGAUGUGAAGUUUUAAUGUUUAAUUUGAAAGUCAAACAAAAUCAAACGUUGUGGCACAUCUAUAUAUAUGUGAUAUGCAUCUCUCUUAGUUUUCCC